rnacentral:lncRNA from 1 species
ACAGGCACUGAGGGAUGCUGGGAGCUGGGACCACAAAGCCUCAGCCCUUCACAAACAACGACAGGACACUGAGGGAUGCUGGGAGCUGGGACCACAAAGCCUCAGCCCUUCACAAACAACGACAGGACACUGAGGAAUGCUGGGAGCUGGGACCACAAAGCCUCAGCCCUUCACAAAAAACGACAGGCACUGAGGGAUGCUGGGAGCUGGAGAAAGAGCAAACCAAUUACUUAUCCAAUACCAAGUGGUCAGACCUGAAGAAGACUACAUUCAAAUGACAUCGUACAGACUCAGCAGAUUAGAUUUAGGAAUACAUAUUUAUAUUCACUACCUGCACGAAAAUGGAAUCGUCCAUCGCGACCUCAAACCAGAGAAUCUUCUUUAUGCAACGCCAGCCCCUGAUGCACCACUCAAAAUUGCUGAUUUUGGACUUUCUAAAAUCGUGGAACAUCAAGUGCUCAUGAAGACGGUGUGUGGAACCCCGGGGUACUGUGCACCUGAGAUUCUCCGAGGCUGUGCCUAUGGCCCCGAGGUGGACAUGUGGUCUGUAGGAAUAAUUACCUACAUCCUACUUUGUGGAUUUGAACCAUUCUAUGAUGAGAGAGGUGAUCAGUUCAUGUUCAGGAGAAUUCUGAAUUGUGAAUAUUACUUUAUCUCCCCCUGGUGGGAUGAAGUUUCUUUAAAUGCCAAGGACU